UGAUCCUGCCAGUAGUGAUAUGCUUGUCUUAAAGAUUAAGCCAUGCAUGCCUCAGUACAAACUGUUGUAGAGUGAAACCGCGAAUGGCUCAUUAAAUCGGUUAUGGUUCCUUGGACCUAAAAGUUACUUGGAUAACUGUGGUAAUUCUAGAGCUAAUACAUGCAUUUCAGUCGUGACCCGAAAGGGGAAGGACGCUUUUAUUAGAUCAAAGCCAAUCGGCCGGCUCGCCCGGUCGUUCCGUUUUGGUGACUCUGGAUAACCUUGGGCUGAUCGCACGGUCUCCGCACCGGCGACGUGUCCUUCAAAUGUCUGCCUUAUCAACUGACGAUGGUAGGUUUUGCGCCUACCAUGGUUGUAACGGGUGACGGGGAAUCAGGGUUCGAUUCCGGAGAGGGAGCCUGAGAAACGGCUACCACAUCCAAGGAAGGCAGCAGGCGCGCAAAUUACCCACUCCCGGCACGGGGAGGUAGUGACGAAAAAUAACGAUACGGGACUCAUCCGAGGCCCCGUAAUCGGAAUGAGAACACUUUAAAUCCUUUAACGAGGAUCUAUUGGAGGGCAAGUCUGGUGCCAGCAGCCGCGGUAAUUCCAGCUCCAAUAGCGUAUAUUAAAGUUGUUGCGGUUAAAAAGCUCGUAGUCGGAGGUGUGUCUCGGACGGUCGGUUCGCCGCUUGUCGGUGCUCAACUGGCCGGUCCGGACGUCCUGCCGGUGGGGCUGUAAAAGGCUCCGUUAUCCUUCUUUGGUCCUCUUCAUUGAGUGCCUUGGUGGGCCGGCACGUUUACUUUGAACAAAUUAGAGUGCUCAAAGCAGGCCGUUGGUCGCCUGAAUACUGUGUGCAUGGAAUAAUGGAAUAGGACCUCGGUUCCAUUUUGUUGGUUUUCAGAACUCGAGGUAAUGAUUAAUAGGGACGGACGGGGGCAUUCGUAUUGCGACGUUAGAGGUGAAAUUCUUGGAUCGUCGCAAGACGAACCGAUGCGAAAGCAUUUGCCAAGAACGUUUUCGUUGAUCAAGAACGAAAGUUAGAGGUUCGAAGGCGAUCAGAUACCGCCCUAGUUCUAACCAUAAACGAUGCCAGCUAGCCAUCCGCCGAAGUUCCUUAUAUGACUCGGCGGGCAGCUUCCGGGAAACCAAAGCUCUUGGGUUCCGGGGGAAGUAUGGUUGCAAAGCUGAAACUUAAAGGAAUUGACGGAAGGGCACCACCAGACGUGGAGCCUGCGGCUUAAUUUGACUCAACGCGGGGAACCUCAUCAGGCCAGGACACCGGAAGGAUUGACAGAUUGAGAGCUCUUUCUUGAUUCGGUGGGUGGUGGUGCAUGGCCGUUCUUAGUUCGUGGAGUGAUUUGUCUGCUUAAUUGCGAUAACGAACGAGAUCCUACCCUACUAACUAGUCGAAACCGGCAUCCCCUGUGCAGCCGGCGACCAACACUCUUCUUAGAGGGACAGGCGGCUUCCAGCCGCAGGAAGUGGGGCAAUAACAGGUCUGUAAUGCCCUUAGAUGUUCUGGGCAGCACGCGCGCUACACUGAAGGUAUCAACGUGUGUUUUCCUUGCUCGAGAGGGCCGGGUAACCCGUUGAAACUCCUUCGUGCUAGGGAUUGGGGCUUGCAAUUAUUCCCCACCAACGAGGAAUGCCUAGUAAGCGGGAAUCAUUACUUCCCGCUGAUUAAGUCCCUGCCCUUUGUACACACCGCCCGUCGCUACUACCGAUUGAAUAUUUUAGUGAGGUCUUCGGACCAGCCCGCGGACCCUUCUCAGGGGCCGUAGAGCCGGAAAGAUGACCGAACUUGAAUAUUUAGAGGAAGUAAAAGUCGUAACAAGGUUUCCGU
rnacentral:rRNA from 1 species